rnacentral:rRNA from 1 species
AUUGAACGCUGGCGGCAGGCUUAACACAUGCAAGUCGAGCGGGGUGAUGGUGCUCGCACUAUCACUUAGCGGCGGACGGGUGAGUAAUGCUUAGGAAUCUGCCUAUUAGUGGGGGACAACAUCUCGAAAGGGAUGCUAAUACCGCAUACGUCCUACGGGAGAAAGCAGGGGAUCACUUGUGACCUUGCGCUAAUAGAUGAGCCUAAGUCGGAUUAGCUAGUUGGUGGGGUAAAGGCCUACCAAGGCGACGAUCUGUAGCGGGUCUGAGAGGAUGAUCCGCCAUACUGGGACUGAGACACGGCCCAGACUCCUACGGGAGGCAGCAGUGGGGAAUAUUGGACAAUGGGGGGAACCCUGAUCCAGCCAUGCCGCGUGUGUGAAGAAGGCCUUAUGGUUGUAAAGCACUUUAAGCGAGGAGGAGGCUCUUUUGGUUAAUACCCAAGAUGAGUGGACGUUACUCGCAGAAUAAGCACCGGCUAACUCUGUGCCAGCCGCCGCAGUAA